rnacentral:lncRNA from 1 species
AAAACAAGUUUUGACUAGUUGCCACAAAUUUUCUCAAUUUCUAGGCUCAACCAAACUGUGGUGUUGUAAUUUUGUGUUGGUCCCAUGGUAUUCAGGAUAAUCUCAAUGGUUAACAGGGGUUGCAAAGCCCAACUUGAAAGUAGUAAAUUCUAUGAGCCAUGGCAGGUAGAUGGGUGAACGAGUGAGACAGCAAAAGGGAGAGACCUUCUACCAGGAACAAUAUUUUGCAGAUGCAGAGCAAAAACACAAUAGACUGCCCAAAGAUAUUGUAGAAAAAUCUCUUCCUCUUGUUUGUGCGCGUUUGGGUUGGUUUUAGUGGAAAGGUUUUCGACAAAGAGAUUCCUUUCUACCAAUAAGAAAAAAGAAAAAAAAAGGAGACGCCUUUUAAUGAGAUGCUCGCUCUAAAGACAAGACAUACCAAAGAAGCUGCUUACCAGACCUACCUUGUACAUGAUGUUAUGCUUUUCUGAAUUAUAUUCAAUGUCGUACACCAUGCUUGAUUCCCUCAGAUUUAUUUCACUAAAAGAGCAUGGUGAGUGAAUAAUGGUUUAUAAGGUGGACUGUAGGUAGUUCAGAAAAGGCUUUGGUGAUUAUGGUAAGGUUAUAACAUCAGGCUUAUAUAUACCUGAAACUUGUUCUCUAAUGUCAGUCUGCUUUUUCUGCUUCUCUCAGGCAUGUCUUUUUACGAAUCUCCUGCAAAGAAGGCUCAUGCAUCUGAACUCUGUUUCACAUUAGGUGAAACUUCCAAAAUUAAUUACUUUACACCAAAAC